AGAGUUUGAUCAUGGCUCAGGAUGAACGCUGGCGGUCUGCUUAACACAUGCAAGUCGAACGGAAUCUUUCGGGAUUUAGUGGCGGACGGGUGAGUAACGCGUGAGAAUCUGCCUUCAGGUUCGGGACAACAGUUGGAAACGGCUGCUAAUACCGGAUGUGCCGAGAGGUGAAAGCUUAAGUGCCUGGAGAUGAGCUCGCGUCUGAUUAGCUAGUAGGAGUGGUAACGGCACCCCUAGGCGACGAUCAGUAGCUGGUCUGAGAGGAUGAUCAGCCGCACUGGGACUGAGACACGGCCCAGACUCCUACGGGAGGCAGCAGUGGGGAAUUUUCCGCAAUGGGCGCAAGCCUGACGGAGCAAGACCGCGUGAGGGAAGAAGGUCUGUGGAUUGUAAACCUCUUUUGAUCGGGAAGAAGACAGUGACGGUACCGAUCGAAUCAGCUCGAUCCCCAC
rnacentral:rRNA from 1 species